AUGAGCCGAGAUAGGUUGGAUGUUUGUCACUACUGCUGAACUGUGCUAUUCCAUUCUGUGCAGAGCUGUAAUGGAGGAAGAAUAAAUGUGCCACCAGUUGGGUCGAAUCUGAACCUUGGAGUCAUUCGUCUUUUUCACAACGCAGAGAUCGUGAAUAGGGGGAAGCAGUGUGGCUAAGCCCGGUUACACAUGGAAACGAUAAAAAUUAUUUAAAUUAUGGGGUUGGAACGUGAAGGUGUGGCCAGUGGAAGUGGGAUGCAGAAGUUUUGUAGCCAGUUCCAUAAUAAGGCUUUUGAAGGAAGUAGGGAUCAGAGGCCAGGCCCAACGGAGGGCAAUCAAAGAACUCGCCACUGCAGCGGAACAGAGCAGUCACUGGCUGUUGCUUAAACGAAGGGAUGCUAUUUGGGCUGCCAAAUGAUGACAUGGUGCUUCUAAGUGACACACACCCGGGUCUGAUCAACCAGGGGUGGGCCAACCCCGGCAGAGGGUGUAUUGUGAUAAGUGGCCGACACACCCAAUGAGGUCGGGGCACACAACUGAAGAUGCGUCACGCCAGUUUCACCACGAAAUCUAUGUUCAUGUCCUCGCAGACACCACCACGUCCAGGAAACCCCCGGAGGCAACGGCUGUCAACCUAGCUCAAAGGAAGGAUUUUGGCAGAUGCCGGACGGAUGUCACCUUGAAUGUCGUGUACCCGUGGAGGAGAUAAAAAAUUAUUUAAAUUAUGGGGUCAUUUAUCUUUUUCAUCUUAGCUCAAAGGAAGGAUUUUGGCAGACGCCAGACGGAUGUCACCAUGAAUGUUGCGUACCCGUGGAAGAGAUAAAACUUGCAACUUUCACUUACACAUAGUCCAGAAGAAAUCUAGUUGCUGCACAAU
rnacentral:lncRNA from 1 species